rnacentral:rRNA from 1 species
GACGAACGCUGGCGGCGUGCUUAACACAUGCAAGUCGAACGGAAAGGCCCUGCUUUUGUGGGGUGCUCGAGUGGCGAACGGGUGAGUAACACGUGAGUAACCUGCCCUUGACUUUGGGAUAACUUCAGGAAACUGGGGCUAAUACCGGAUAGGAGCUCCUGCUGCAUGGUGGGGGUUGGAAAGGUUCGGCGGUUGGGGAUGGACUCGCGGCUUAUCAGCUUGUUGGUGGGGUAGUGGCUUACCAAGGCUUUGACGGGUAGCCGGCCUGAGAGGGUGACCGGCCACAUUGGGACUGCGAUACGGCCCAGACUCCUACGGGAGGCAGCAGUGGGGAAUAUUGCACAAUGGGCGGAAGCCUGAUGCAGCAACGCCGCGUGCGGGAUGACGGCCUUCGGGUUGUAAACCGCUUUCGCCUGUGACGAAGCGUGAGUGACGGUAAUGGGUAAAGAAGCACCGGCUAACUACGUG